CCUGCCCACCAGAGAACAACCCCCUUUGACUGUAAUUUUCCAUUACCUUCCCAAAUCCUAUAAAACGGCCCCACCCCAUCUCCCUUCGCUGACUCUCUUUUCGGACUCAGCCCGCCUGCACCCAGGUGAAAUAAACAGCCAUGUUGCUCACACAAAGCCUGUUUGGUGGUCCCUUCACACGGACACGCUUGAAAGAUGCAGCCCACUUUGGUGGGCUUUUCCUUUGUCCCAAAUUUCCUUGUGGGCCGCUCAGCUGCCAGUGAUGCUCCUCGCAUGGGUCAGGUGUCCUAUCCUGUUAGAGUUGGGAAAACAUCUCAAUUCUUGCCUCACCAUUGCCCUUUUAUAACUGGGCUUAUGAUUACAACACCAUCGUAGAAAACCUAAACAAAUCUUUUUUUUCUUUUUUUUUUUGAGAUGGAGUCUCGCUCUGUUGCCCAGGCUGGAGUGCAGUGGCGCGAUCUUGGCUCACUGCAAGCUCCGUCUUCUGGGUUCACGCCAUUCUCCUGCCUCAGCCUCCCGAGUAGCUGGGACUACGGGCGUCCACACCGCGCCCAGCUAAUUUUUUGUAUUUUUAGUAGAGACGGGGUUUCACCGUGGUCUCCAUCUCCUGACCUCGUGAUCUGCCCACCUCCCAAAGUGCUGGGAUUAUAGGUGUGAGCCACCGCACCCGGCCUAAACUAACCUUGUAUUUCUAGGAAAGAGAAUGUUUACAAACAUUGGACUCACUUGGUUUGUGAGCCGAACAGCAUAACCAAGGCUAUAGAACAAGCCUCAUUUUCUAGGGCUCUGAAAAGCCCCUUUCUCUGCAGUUCACUCCUAGGAGCUGAUUUAAUUCCCUCUUACCUUGGUGAUUCUGAUACAAAUUUGGAGAUGAUGGCAAAUUCAUUUUCCUAUGGUUUAUUUAUUUAUUUUUGUUUUUAAAAUCUCCAGUUUACAGUUGGAGAAACUGAGCCUCAGGGAGGUUAUUUCACUCAAGGCCCAACAUUUAAUAAGUAAGAGUCAGAGAUACAAUCAAAGUAGCUGUCAGCUAAAGUGGACAGAAUACAGAUGGGUUUUGGACUUGGCAAAGUUCCUUAUUAUUUUUGAGUUUCACUUUCACAUCCAAAAUGAGAAUAAUAGUUACUACAAGGAUUGUUGUAAAGAUUAGAAGUAAUAUAUGUAAAGCACUGAGCUCAAUGCCUGGCUCUUGGUGGGUGGUCCAUAACUGGUAGUGAUUAUAAAUGGUCUGCCUGACUCCAAAAGCUUUGAGCUCUCCUUGAAAUGACAAUACCCUUCCUUCUCCAUUAAAGUUGUCCUAUUAAUUGCUCAUCUCUUGAGUAUAUGUUUAAUGCAUAUAUCUUGACUAUUUUUUCCCAUGUGUUCAAGUCUCUCUCAUUCUAAAAACAAAAUACAGAAGCAAUAAUAAUAAUAUAACAAACUAUUCAUGUAACUCUGCU
rnacentral:lncRNA from 1 species